ACAACCUCUGUGGUGUUUGGUGAAAGGACUAAUACAUAUUGCCCUUGCUGAAACGAACUUCAACUACACCCUUAAAUCUUUUGUUAAAAGGAGAUAGUCUGCUUACAAUUUUUUUUUUAACAUUUUAAGUAAACAUGUAUUAACUGCAAGCUAUUUUCUACGUGAACAAAAUGAAGAUGUAUAUCGUUACAGAUUCACUGCUAUACUAGACUUAAAAAAGAAAAAGAGAUAAGAUUACUAUAGCAAUUCUGUUUGUAUGAGAAAUGGUAUUGGCAUUUUUAUUUGAUAAUUUCUUAAUCCUAAAGAAACAUCAUUGCGUGCGGACAGAAAAAAAGUGAUGAUAAUCAAAAUCAGUAAAUCAGUUUUUUUAAAGUCCUUUGAAAAACGCAAAUCAUAGUUAAGCACCAAGAAAAGGAGAGUUGUGGUAAAGAGCUACAAAUUUCAAAAGAAGAGGAGACAGAUCAAGAAACUUAAUCGGACUUACUUAAAAAGAUCCUCCUUCAAUACAAUACCUAAUUCAUUGCAAACAGGCUUAAGCUCCUUAACAUACGCUUGGUACUGUUCUUUGGUUGGUAGUUUCACUUUAAUACCUUCGAAAAUCCUUACGGCGGUAGGGAAAUCGUUAACACGACGAGCAGCACGUAAAGCUUGUUCAAUAACAUCAGAAGAAGGCACGAUAUCGUAGGCAAAACAAUUAUUUAGGCCUCUUUGGAGCUCAAAUUGAUCCUGAACAUUUGAAAAGAAAUCGUUAUACCUACGUAGUUAGUAAACAGUAAAACAAGAAAUUUUAAAUAAAGGAAAAGCAGAGCAGAGCAGAAGUAAGAAUAAGCUUCCAAAGAAGGAAAAAUGGUCAAUUUUUCUUGUGUAAAAACUAAAAACGUGAAAACUGAGAAAAGAACAAAAAAUAGCAGACAAAUAAAUAGCUAUGA